rnacentral:rRNA from 1 species
UGGGGAAUAUUGCACAAUGGGCGCAAGCCUGAUGCAGCCAUGCCGCGUGUGUGAAGAAGGCCUUCGGGUUGUAAAGCACUUUCAGCGGGGAGGAAGGCGUUAAGGUUAAUAACCUUGGUGAUUGACGUUACCCGCAGAAGAAGCACCGGCUAACUCCGUGCCAGCAGCCGCGGUAAUACGGAGGGUGCAAGUGUUAAUCGGAAUUACUGGGCGUAAAGCGCACGCAGGCGGUCUGUCAAGUCGGAUGUGAAAUCCCCGGGCUCAACCUGGGAACUGCAUUCGAAACUGGCAGGCUAGAGUCUUGUAGAGGGGGGUAGAAUUCCAGGUGUAGCGGUGAAAUGCGUAGAGAUCUGGAGGAAUACCGGUGGCGAAGGCGGCCCCCUGGACAAAGACUGACGCUCAGGUGCGAAAGCGUGGGGAGCAAACAGG